CGCCGGGCCGCCCUCGCAGAGCCCCAGUGCCGGGCGGGGAAAGCCGCGGGGCUGGCGGCCCCCCGAGCGGCCGCCCGGGCUCCCUGGGGAAGCCGCGGUUCCCGCGGCUCUGGGGGAAUCAGCGGGGAGACACCUCGUGUAUUCUGCUCCGUGGGUUGACGCCUUCAGUUCGGUGCCGCUUUGCUCACCUGCAGGGGGGAGGUGGGAUGGAGUAAAGUCAUCCCUGUGGGUCCGCCCGUGGGGAAGGGAAAGGCUCCUCUGGGGGCAGAAAAAGGGUGUAGUUGCUUUCCUUUGGAGAGAGAAGAAUCAAAGCGCUGUAUUGCCCACUUGUGUUGAGCUGUGGCUUCGGUGUUGAGUUUGGAGCGUCAGGAUUAAUUUCGUAGCAUGUUUCUAGUGGUAAUAUAUAUAUAUUAAAGGAUGAGGCAAGACUUUUUAGACUUGAAACAUAGGGUACAAAUGCAUUGUGCAGCAUUUUCUUUAACGUUACUGUCUACUUUAUCUUGGAUGCCCCCUCUUUACUUGGGUUGCGUCUGUCACUUCAGUCUGGGUAUGGAGUUCAUGUCCAUCUGCAGGUGUAAGUGCUCUGCCUCUGGGAGCAGCAGAGAGUGAGGACAGCUGGUAUGUGCUUAUUUAAUUGUCAGCUUUUAUCCCCAGUGCCAACUGGAUACUGCUAUCCCAAGUGAAUUGGGAUAGUGGAUAAAUAUUUCCCCUCCUACAGGGAAGGCCUGUCUGCUAAGACCAGUUUCUGGAGUCUUGAUGCUGACAAAAUACAGCUCAGUAGUAGGACUGAACCAGCCUCGUGCUGUGUCUAAAUUCAUCAUUACAGGUGCAGUAGUUCCUGACUGCAUGUCACAGUCUCCUGCUGAUCUGUGCUUGGUCUGGCUGCACAUUGAAGUUUCCUCUUGGAAAUUAGUUGCAUUAAGCUGGGAUUUUUUGAUGGAAGGGAGUGAAGAACCUCAUUGAUGUUUAUUCCCCUCUUGUGUAGCUAAGCAUUCUUCUGGCCUUUUUUCUAAGGUAAAUUUACUCCAUGAAGG
rnacentral:lncRNA from 1 species